AUUAAUACCGAAACAACAGCGAAAAAAACAUGUUCAUUGAGAAUAUAAAUUGUUCAGAAAAGUUUGCAACGAAAGACAAAUGAUCUUGCAGUCAACAAGCACUUACUAUACUACCAAACACCUGUAUAAUAUAUCUGAGCUUUUCUGUGAGAUAUACCGGUUCUAAAACCAUUUCUUUCAGUUCGUCUUCGAGUUGUAAAACAAA